GACGAACGCUGGCGGCGUGCCUAAUACAUGCAAGUCGAACGGGGAACACAGACGGAAGUUUUCGGAUGGAAGGAAGUGUUCUUAGUGGCGGACGGGUGAGUAACGCGUGAGCAAUCUGCCCAUAAGAGGGGGAUAACAGUUAGAAAUGACUGCUAAUACCGCAUAAGACCACACUACCGCAUGGUAGAGGGGUCAAAGAUUUAUCGCUUAUGGAGGAGCUCGCGUCCCAUUAGGUAGUUGGUAGGGUAACAGCCUACCAAGCCUGCGAUGGGUAGCCGGCCUGAGAGGACGGAUCAGCCACACUGGGACUGAGACACGGCCCAGACUCCUACGGGAGGCAGCAGUGGGGAAUCUUGCGCAAUGGGGGCAACCCUGACGCAGCCAUGCCGCGUGAAUGAUGAAGGCCUUAGGGUUGUAAGUUCUUUUGCCCGUGACGAUGAUGACGGUAACGGGAGAAUAAGCUCCGGCUAACGUUCGUGCCAGCAGCCGCGGUAAUAC
rnacentral:rRNA from 1 species